CCAAUAGCGUAUAUUAAAGUUGUUGCAGUUAAAAAGCUCGUAGUUGAAUUUCGGGAUUGACACAUCGGUCGUGCUCUAAGGGGUAUGAACUGGUGUAGUCAGUUUCUCACCUUCUGGAGAACCGCGAUGUCCUUAAUUGGGUGCCGCGAGGAACCAGGACCUUUACUUUGAAAAAAUUAGAGUGUUUAAAGCAGGCAUUU
rnacentral:rRNA from 1 species